rnacentral:rRNA from 1 species
CUAAGAAUAUUCCGCAAUGGACGGAAGUCUGACGGAGCGACGCCGCGUGGAUGACGAAGGCCGAAAGGUUGUAAAGUUCUUUUGCUGGGGAAGAAUAACCGCAGGAGGGAAUGCCUGUGGGAUGACAAGAACCGGCGAAUAAGCCCCGGCCAACUACGUGCCAGCAGCCGCGGUAACACGUAGGGGGCGAGCGUUGUUCGGAGUUACUGGGCGUAAAGGGCAUGUAGGCGGCUUGGAAAGCCUGGCGUGAAAGUCUGCAGCUUAACUGCAGGGGUGCGCUGGGAACUGCUGAGCUUGAGUGACGGAGAGGGAGCUGGAAUUCCUGGUGUAGGGGUGAAAUCUGUAGAUAUCAGGAAGAACACCGAUGGCGAAGGCAAGCUCCUGGCCGAUGACUGACGCUGAGGUGCGAAAGUGUGGGGAUCAAACAGGAUUAGAUACCCUGGUAGUCCACACAGUCAACGAUGUGCACUAGGUGCUGGGGCGGUAGCUUCGGUGCCGGAGCGAACGUGGUAAGUGCACCGCCUGGGGAGUAUGCUCGCAAGGGUGAAACUC